rnacentral:sRNA from 1 species
CCGCUUCAUACCCACACUUCAUCCUCCUGUUUCUCUCCAGGCCACCAUGUCUGCAGGCAACGGCACCCCUUGGGGAUGCCACCUGGAAUGUCACUGUUCAAUGGCUGGCUGUGGACAUCGCAUGUCGGACACUCAUGUUCCUGAAACUAAUGGCCAUGUAUUCUGCAGCUUUCCUGCCUGUGAUCAUUGGACUGGACCGCCAGGCAGCAGUACUCAACCCGCUUGGAUCCCGUUCAGGUGUAAGGAAACUUCUGGGGGCAGCCUGGGGACUUAGUUUCCUGCUUGCCUUGCCCCAGCUGUUCCUGUUCCAUACCGUCCACCGAGCUGGCCCAGUCCCUUUCACUCAGUUUGUCACCAAAGGCAGCUUCAAGGCUCGAUGGCGAGAGACCACCUAUAACCUCUUCACCUUCUGCUGCCUCUUUCUGCUGCCACUGACUGCCAUGGCCAUCUGCUAUAGCCGCAUUGUCCUCAGUGUGUCCAGCCCCCAGACAAGGAAGGGGAGCCAUGCCCCUGCUGGUGAAUUUGCCCUCCCCCACUCCUUUGACAAUUGUCCCUGUGUUUGUCUCCGGGCCCUGAGAUUGGCCCUGCUUAUCUUGCUGACCUUCAUCGUCUGCUGGACCCCUUAUUACCUACUGGGUCUGUGGUACUGGUUCUCCCUCACCAUGCUAACUGAAGUCCCUCCCAGCCUGAGCCACAUCCUUUUCCUCUUUAGCCUCCUCAAUGCUCCUUUGGAUCCUCUCCUCUAUGGGGCCUUCACCCUUGGCUGCCGAAGAGGGCACCAAGAACUUAGCAUAGACGUUUCUAAAGAAGGGUCUGGGAGAAUGCUCCAAGAGGAGAUUCAUGCCCUUAGACAGCUAGAAGUACAAAAAACUGUGACAUCAAGAAAGGCAGGAGAAACAAAAGACAUUUCUAUAACAUCUAUCUGAUCCUAACAGAGUAUAUAGGAACAGAAUAGUAAGUCUUUAGUACCAGAAGAUCUUAACAUCUCACUUCUACUCCUCCUCUCCUAGUUCCCCCCAAAAAAGAAAUACUGA